UACGUAGGGUGCAAGCGUUGUCCGGAAUUAUUGGGCGUAAAGAGCUCGUAGGCGGUCUGUCGCGUCGGCUGUGAAAACCCGGAGCUCAACUCCGGGCCUGCAGUCGAUACGGGCAGACUGGAGUUCGGCAGGGGGAGACUGGAAUUCCUGGUGUAGCGGUGAAAUGCGCAGGAUAUCAGGAGGAACACCGGUGGCGAAGGGCGGGUCUCUGGGCCGAUACUGACGUGAGGAGCGAAAGCGUGGGGAGCGAACAGG
rnacentral:rRNA from 1 species